GCCCGGCUAGCCCAGUCUUUAGAGCAUGAGACUCUUAAUCUCAAGAUUGACAGUUUGAGCCCCACAUUGGCCU